rnacentral:rRNA from 1 species
CGUAACAAGGUCUCCGUAGGUGAACCUGCGGAGGGAUCAUUACACAAAUAUGAAGGCGGGCUGGAACCUCUCGGGGUUACAGCCUUGCUGAAUUAUUCACCCUUGUCUUUUGCGUACUUCUUGUUUCCUUGGUGGGUUCGCCCACCACUAGGACAAACAUAAACCUUUUGUAAUUGCAAUCAGCGUCAGUAACAAAUUAAUAAUUACAACUUUCAACAACGGAUCUCUUGGUUCUGGCAUCGAUGAAGAACGCAGCGAAAUGCGAUAAGUAGUGUGAAUUGCAGAAUUCAGUGAAUCAUCGAAUCUUUGAACGCACAUUGCGCCCUUUGGUAUUCCAAAGGGCAUGCCUGUUCGAGCGUCAUUUGUACCCUCAAGCUUUGCUUGGUGUUGGGCGUCUUGUCUCUAGCUUUGCUGGAGACUCGCCUUAAAGUAAUUGGCAGCCGGCCUACUGGUUUCGGAGCGCAGCACAAGUCGCACUCUCUAUCAGCAAAGGUCUAGCAUCCAUUAAGCCUUUUUUUUCAACUUUUGACCUCGGAUCAGGUAGGGAUACCCGCUGAACUUAAGCAUAUCA